rnacentral:rRNA from 1 species
GGGGAGAGGAACUUGUUCCUCGAGUCGUUGAUUUCACACUGCCGAGAAAAGCCUCUAGCUAGAAUAACGGUGCCCGUACCGCAAACCGACACAGGUAGUCAAGAUGAGAAUUCUAAGGUGAGCGAGCGAACUCUCGUUAAGGAACUCGGCAAAAUGACCCCGUAACUUCGGGAGAAGGGGUGCUCUUUGAGGUUCACGCUUCGAAGAGCCGCAGUGAAUAGGCCCAAGCGACUGUUUAUCAAAAACACAGGUCUCUGCUAAACCGUAAGGUGACGUAUAGGGGCUGACGCCUGCCCGGUGCUGGAAGGUUAAGAGGAGUGGUUAGCGCAAGCGAAGCUACGAAUCGAAGCCCCAGUAAACGGCGGCCGUAACUAUAACGGUCCUAAGGUAGCGAAAUUCCUUGUCGGGUAAGUUCCGACCCGCACGAAAGGCGUAACGAUUUGGGCACUGUCUCAACGAGAGACUCGGUGAAAUCAUAGUACCGGUGAAGAUGCCGGUUACCCGCGACAGGACGGAAAGACCCCGUGGAGCUUUACUGUAGCCUGAUAUUGAAAUUCGGUACAGUUUGUACAGGAUAGGUAGGAGCCUUAGAAGCGUGAGCGCUAGCUUACGUGGAGGCAUUGGUGGGAUACUACCCUAAUUGUAUUGGAUUUCUAACCCGCAGCACUUAUCGUGCUGGGAGACAGUGUCAGGCGGGCAGUUUGACUGGGGCGGUCGCCUCCUAAAGAGUAACGGAGGCGCUCAAAGGUUCCCUCAGAAUGGUUGGAAAUCAUUCAUAGAGUGUAAAGGCAUAAGGGAGCUUGACUGCGAGACCUACAAGUCGAGCAGGGUCGAAAGACGGACUUAGUGAUCCGGUGGUUCCGCAUGGAAGGGCCAUCGCUCAACGGAUAAAAGCUACCCCGGGGAUAACAGGCUUAUCUCCCCCAAGAGUUCACAUCGACGGGGAGGUUUGGCACCUCGAUGUCGGCUCAUCGCAUCCUGGGGCUGUAGUCGGUCCCAAGGGUUGGGCUGUUCGCCCAUUAAAGCGGUACGCGAGCUGGGUUCAGAACGUCGUGAGACAGUUCGGUCCCUAUCCGUCGUGGGCGUAGGAAAUUUGAGAGGAGCUGUCCUUAGUACGAGAGGACCGGGAUGGACAUACCUCUGGUGUACCAGUUGUCGUGCCAACGGCAUAGCUGGGUAGCUAUGUAUGGACGGGAUAAGUGCUGAAAGCAUCUAAGCAUGAAGCCCCCCUCGAGAUGAGAUUUCCCAACUUCGGUUAUAAGAU